rnacentral:rRNA from 1 species
UACGAAGGGUGCAAGCGUUACUCGGAAUUACUGGGCGUAAAGGGUGCGUAGGUGGUUGUUUAAGUCUGUUGUGAAAGCCCCGGGCUCAACCUGGGAAUGGCAAUGGAUACUGGACAGCUAGAGUGCGGUAGAGGGUAGUGGAAUUCCCGGUGUAGCAGUGAAAUGCGUAGAGAUCGGGAGGAACACCAGUGGCGAAGGCGACUACCUGGCCUGUUCUUGACGCUGAGGCGCGAAAGCUAGGGGAGCAAACGGG